UUUGUUUGUAAUGCCACCCAUUCACCGUUUUCUCAUGUUUCGCCUCUAUACGCAAUAUUCCUAUUAGGUCAAUAUACUAAA
rnacentral:lncRNA from 1 species